AUAGGUAGGAAGAUGUUUAAAGAUUUCAUGUUGACCAAAAGAAAAGAGAGGUUUGAAAAGGCAACAAAGCAAAAAAAAGUCUGAUUACCAACUCUCGGUCGGUGUACUUUUUCUUAAAUUCCUGAGAGAAAAAAGAGAGUGAUAUUUCGGGUCUUGGUCGUAUUCAAAUGUUUGCUGAUGAAGCCGAGUAAACAAUCAACAACCAUUGGAUUAUUGCAAUCAAGUUUCAAGAUUCACCACCGUCACAAGGUUCAAGUUCGAUGGGAGGUACGCAGUGCAGGAGCGGCGCCGAACAAGGUCGUAUUGCAAACAAGAAACAAAAUACAAAUCAUUGUCAAAACUCAGUAGAAGCCAUGAAAAGAAGAAACGGACUUGAAAUUUAACGAUAUUACUCGAGCACGGCUACAUCAUGAGCACUCAACAUUUUGCAGUUUUUCUUCCUCAAAAAGCGAUCUACUUAAAAACACGGCUUUGAGAAAUAUCCUACAGAUUUUAUUACAUACUUGAAGCAGAAGAUCAAAAGCUUAUCCUUUCCUAGAACGAUCGGCACUCGGCAUUAUUUCCUCUGCCGGUUUAGACGGCGGCUGCGGCGGCAGCUGAACGCCUCCGCCGCUUCUAUCUUGCGGUGGUGGAGAAGCUUUUGUCGCCGGAGGCGGCGGAGCAAUGUCGUCCGGGAGAGGAGCGGAGAGGUUGUCGGGUAUGACGAAGACGCCCUGGGAUGGGCGCCGGUGGUGGCGGUUAGUUCUCUGAGACAUUUUUGUGAAGCACUGUGUGAA